rnacentral:lncRNA from 1 species
AGGACUGCGCUUAUUCAGACAUUUUCUUGUCUCCGAAACUCUCAAAAGAGCUUCAUGCUUUUACACACGCUGAUUCACAGGCCUCUGGCAGGGGCUGCUGUUCAAGUGCCAAGCCUCUAAAAAGUAGAGCGUCUUGCCCAAGAACGCUUCGACAUGUGGACCGUAGGUUGCUAAUAUCAGAGCUGCCAACCCACGAUUAGAAUACGACCCACUCUACCUUUGGGAAUCAACCACUCAAAAGUGCGAGCAUAUUCUUUUGACUGUCUUUUCUGACUUCAGGCCAAGGCAUGGCCUCCGAAAUUGAAACACAUCUGUAAAAGUUGUGUUCCCAUCCUCAAAGUAAGCCACUUCUCAGUCAUUUUUCUCUUUUUGUCAGUGCUACUGUGUGCUCCGCAUCUUGAAUUCAAGCCCACCUCACUCAACAGAGUUUUGUACUCUUUGUCAGCGGUGCUUUUAAAAUUUUCCCACAGAGCCCGGAGAAGACUGAAUUGGAUGCUGAUGUAUUCUGUAAUUGAAAUUAAGCAAUCCAAUACACAUGGAACCCCAGAAUCACAGGCUAAUUGCCUCCCUCAUUAAAAAACAUGUGUUGCGUCUUUGUGAUCUGCACCAGGUCUCAUAUUAAACUGGAUUACAGCUGCUGCCACGUAUAGAACAGUAUAUCAUUCUUUUUUGUCAGGUCAUUUGGCAACUACAUGGUUGAAGUGAGAUAACACUGGUGGGUGGCAUGCUAUAUGCUUUAAAUGAAUAAGCUUCAUUAUGGAAGUCUCGCUCCUCUGAACUUCAAUUCCACUCAGUGUCCAAUCCCCCUCUGUUACAGAGCCUCGAUCGUUAGGAAAUUUAAUUACAGCGUCUGAAAAAAACUGGAAUCAGAUGGAUUAUCCACAGUGGCCAAGGAGCUUCGUUUCAGAGUAGCGGGGCUUCCAAGAAAUGUCCAGAACAUUGUUAAAGCUCGGUAGCCUCCACUUAGAGACAGGAUUUAGACAAAAAUGCACCAUUUAACAAUUCAAUUUGAUUUGGUGCUGGAGCCUUCAAGGCCAUGGUGCUGAAUGUGAGUGUCACAUGAAAGCAUGGCAACCGAGCUCUCAUAUGACAAAGAUUCUUGUUUUUUUUUCAGGCUUUGAGAUAGUUAAAAAAUCCAUCUAUACACCCAUGAAAAUGUCACUUAACAAACUCAUAGUGUAUAUUUUAUUCAUAUUUUAAUCAAUGUUUGCACAUGACUGGACGUGAACUCCUCGGAGUCUUAAGGCAAAACGAUUAAAUCUCUAUUACUGUGCUGGUGUGAUUUAAACAAGUGUCAAGAGAGAGUAUUAUACUCAUGGCGAGGCAGGUCGAAGACUUCUGUCUUCUCUCUCUCUCUUUUGCUUUUACAAGAUUUUUUUCUCUGUUACACAAGCGCCGCACACAUAAAUGUCGACACAUGCACCCACAUGCUCAGGAAGUGAAAGAUAAAUGUUAAUAAUGCAUCAUUCAACUGAAGUGUUGGAACAGGUGUCAAGAAGAAAUGGGUCAUCAGUGUUUGCAGGUCCAAAUGUGUUGAUGGAUUAUCUCACUUUCAUGUUUGCUAUUCUCAAUCACACUGUGGCAGCUCCCUUUGAAAUGCAGCUCAAUAUUUGAUGAAGCCACCUCAGAUCUCGGUAAGCACAUAUUGCACUAAAUCUGUAUGAGAUUUUCUUUUGUCAUAAUAAAUAUAAGAGUCGAACCCGCUCCAUAUUUAGGUUUUAAAUCAACUGUCAAGCGAUGAUGCGCAUUUUCUCAUGUAUUUUAAGUGCAGUAACCUUUGAUUUGGAAAUAGCAACGAUAACGCAGAACCGAGAUCACAUCUGCUUAUAUAUAUGACGCGAAAUCUUCUUCUCAUAACUCUAAAAACAUGCAGCUCUAUGUUGACUCAUGAGCGGGCUUGGCUACCCAAAUGGUGGCACAAAUCAAGGAAAGCCAUUUUAAGAGCUUGAAGGAAGACAUUUCAAAUCCCACAGAAUGACAAAUCUGGCCUAUGACGACAAGGCUGAGCUUGAGGCAUAUAAUCCAUUUGUUCCCCAAAUAUUCUGUGGGGAUGUUUUUUUUCUUUUUUUUCCCCCUACCUACUCCGUAGUUCUGCUAAAACUUGACAGAGCUGACAGCCACAUUUAUAGUUUUGCAGUUUGAAGAACACAGCGGGUUGUCACUCAUUAAAAAGUUACAAGCUCAAGUGUCAAAGAUUUAAAGGUUUCAUUUAUCACAUACACAAAACUCUUGUUUAAGAUCCUGGUUCUGGAUCAUGACUAUUCAGAUUUUAGUCCCUUUUAAGUUUGCAGACAUCCUCACUUCACUUGCAUGCAGGCAGACUUUAUAUAACAGCACAGAUCAAUGCCACUGAAUUUGAGAUCUAAUUAAAUUUAAUCAAUAUUACUGUUCCUAGUUUGAAAACAUUCUGUCUUUAUGGCUAUGUCUCAGAAAACCUGUGAUUAUACUCAAUAUAACACAAACUAAUGCAGUGCUAAUGCUGCCUACAUCAGAUGCUGCAUUAUUGGCUUAAUUCGAUCCUCACUUAUUUAAUUACUACUCCGGCUCACUGAAUCAUCCUGCCCUGCAGCUUCUCUACAACACAGGGACUUCUGUGUCCCUGUUUGAUCUUAAAACAAGAGGGGUGGGUGUGUGCGCGUGCUUGUUUUCAUAUACUUGUGAGGACCAGCGCUUUAGAGACAACCCUUAUUUUGGGGACAUGCUUGCUUGUGUGUAUAUUCCCUUCCUUUGGCCUCAGUGAGUGUUUAUCUGGUUUUAAUUGACAUGGUCAUACAGGUGAUAAUUGUUCUUUGAAUUAAUUGCUUAAGUUGUAGUAGGUGCUGGUCAUGACUCAGAGUGUAUUUUAUUAAUAGAAGUUUCCUUUUUGACACUCAGAGGUGGAUAAAAUGUUCUAAUUCAACACACUAGUGCACUGCAACACUCUCUAAAUAUAAAGUGUUAAUGUUAUCACCUGUCUGAUCAUGUUAACAAAAAAAAAAACAACAGAAAAUGUAUAUGCUAAUUAAAAGUAAACUUGACGAUACAGCUGUUGUUUUGCUUUACUUUGCCCAAGUGUUCACAGUGUUAGGACUUUAUACAUGUAUGUACACUCACCGGCCACUUUAUUAGGUACACCAUGCUAGUAACAGGUUGGACCCCCUUUUGCCUUCAGAACUGCCUCAAUUCUUCGUGGCAUAGAUUCAACAAGGUGCUGGAAGCAUUCCUCAGAGAGCUUGGUCCAUAUUGACAUGAUGGCAUCACACAGUUGCCGCAGAUUGGUCGGCUGCACAUCCAUGAUGCGAAUCUCCCGUUCCACCACAUCCCAAAGAUGCUCUAUUGGAUUGAGAUCUGGUGACUGUGGAGGCCAUUUGAGUACAGUGAACUCAUUGUCAUGUUCAAGAAACCAGUCUGAGAUGAUUCCAGCUUUAUGACAUGGCGCAUUAUCCUGCUGAAAGUAGCCAUCAGAAGUUGGGUACAUUGUGGUCAUAAAGGGAUGGACAUGGUCAGCAACAAUACUCAGGUAGGCUGUGGCGUUGCAACGAUGCUCAAUUGGUACCAAGGGGCCCAAAGAGUGCCAAGAAAAUAUUCCCCACACCAUGACACCACCACCACCAGCCUGAACCGUUGAUACAAGGCAGGAUGGAUCCAUGCUUUCAUGUUGUUGACGCCAAAUUCUGACCCUACCAUCCGAAUGUCGCAGCAGAAAUCGAGACUCAUCAGACCAGGCAACGUUUUUCCAAUCUUCUAUUGUCCAAUUUCGAUGAGCUUGUGCAAAUUGUAGCCUCAGUUUCCUGUUCUUAGCUGAAAGGAGUGGCACCCGGCGUGGUCUUCUGCUGCUGUAGCCCAUCUGCCUCAAAGUUCAACGUACUGUGCGUUCAGAGAUGCUCUUCUGCCUACCUUGGUUGUAACGGGUGGUUAUUUGAGUCACUGUUGCCUUUCUAUCAGCUCGAACCAGUCUGGCCAUUCUCCUCUGACCUCUGGCAUCAACAAGUCAUUUCCGCCCACAGAACUGCCGCUCACUGGAUAUUUUUUCUUUUUCGGACCAUUCUCUGUAAACCCUAGAGAUGGUUGUGCGUGAAAAUCCGAGUAGAUCAGCAGUUUCUGAAAUACUCAGACCAGCCCUUCUGGCACCAACAACCAUGCCACGUUCAAAGUCACUCAAAUCACCUUUCUUCCCCAUACUGAUGCUCGGUUUGAACUGCAGGAGAUUGUCUUGACCAUGUCUACAUGCCUAAAUGCACUAAGUUGCCGCCAUGUGAUUGGCUGAUUAGAAAUUAAGUGUUAACGAGCAGUUGGACAGGUGUACCUAAUAAAGUGGCCGGUGAGUGUAUAUGUGAGUGUGGUGUCAGAAGCCUUUAUUUUCUGCCUGUCUACCACAGUUAACACCCUGAAGCUGAUGAAUUCCAAUGGAAAGAGAUAACAAGAAGAGGAAGUAGCAUUGUUUUGGUAUGGGGUGCAAGUGUUGAUAGAUGAAUCUACAUCUGUAUGAGUCAGACAAAGGAUGCCACAGGAUGUGUCACCCACAGUAUUCAGUGUUAUUUUACAUUUUGUGCCUGUUAUAGCAGACACAUUCCCUCAGUAAUUGCUUAAGAUGCCUGUUUUUGACUUUUUGUAGGUAAAAUGUUAGUCAGUACAUUUACAUGCACAGUUAAGUGAAUCUACUGCCACUGCUGGUUUGGGUGACUGAACUGCACUAUUGUCCUCAUCUAGGGUGACCAUAUCCCCAAAAAGAGGACACGACUACGCAGGGGCAGAAUCACAGAGUCACACAAAGAUAAUUUGGAGCUUUUAAGCGCUUCUAACUCAGAAAAUCCAUGUGACACAAACUCAAAACUUUAAAGGAGUUUAUAAACUUCCCUAGACAAAGUCAGACAAGGCCGGACAGUCCCCAAAAGGAGGACAUGUCUGUGAAAAAGAGGACGUAUGGUCACCCUACUUUAUCUCAGUUUAAGUGCACAGGUCAAGAAUCGAAUUAUCGAUCACUCCCCCUUUCAGCUUUUCACUAUCAGGUUGUCUCCCAGUUGACAUAUUAUGUGUCAAAACACCCAGCAAAACACGAUAGCAAGAGGCUAAUACUAAGAGAAGCUCAAUUUCAGUGCAAUUAAAACCAAACUAAGGUGUUUAAAUGCUUAUUAAAAGUCCAGUCUCAGUUGGAUGAAUCCAUCAGAAAGGUUAGUGAACCUAAUUAGGCAUGUUUGUUUUUUUCAAUCUAGAUUAUUACGCAGGUUUAGUUCAUGGAAAAAGUCAUAUAUGAAUGUAGCUCUAAGGAGAAAUGGUUGCCAUGUCAGUGGGUGGGUGAUUCAGACAGGGACAUGCAAAGUGAAGAGUACUGGGGUCUUUGAUAAUUUGACAUUGAGGAAGUCACUGCUUGAUGAAAUCUACAGCUUCUCCUCCAAAUUAGAUUUACUCUGCAAUGAGACACACAGAGUUUAGCAGGUUGUCUAUUUCCUCCUCCUUUUCCCAAAUCUCAUCUCCAUACUCAUCUGUUUAUGCUUAUACUUUAUCAUCACAUCUCUCUGCACAAGAUCAUAUUUACCUUUCCCAGGCUCAGGUUGGUAUCACAGUACACCCUCCCUCCCCUCUCCACGUUUCAUUCCUCCCCUCUACAUCUGUUACUCCCUGCAUCCCGCCAUCAGGAUUCUGCUCACACUGGCCCGUCUAAUUAGAGUGAGGCAGAGGGAAAGAGAAAACACAAAGGCUUCUCCUUCUUCACUUCCCUCCACAUGUCCUCUCCCUCCUUCCACCGCCUCUUAUUUUCUCUCCCCUCCCUCUCGCUCCUCAGUCAGCUGGAUCACAGGCAGAUAGUGCUAAUUGAUUUAUUAAAAGCCACUCGCUGUCUGCCGGUAUUUUGAGGACUUUCUCUGUGACAGAACGCAACAACCCCAAAGUUUUAUAUUUCACAUGACAGGAAGUGCGAAAGGUGAGGCGAGUCCUCCAUUUUAUUUCUUUCCCACACCUGCAUUGUGUGUGUGUGUGUGAGAGACUGUGUGUGAGAGCCUGGUGGCGGGGAUUGUGAGUUGAUUGUAAGCUGAAUAAUUUAUUUGUUUGGAGUACCCAGACACUCACUACAUUUCCCUCCACAGCUUUGUGGUUUGCCUAUGUGUUUAUUUAUUUAAAGUUAUACUACAUAUCAGUGGCCUCCAUAGUUGUCAACGCUGAAUCAAUCUGAAUAAAUUAUACAGCAGCUAUUGACAUCCCAGCAAAUUAUCAGUGUAGGGUUCUGCGUAUAGGAAAGAAAACAUGUUUAUGUAAUGCCAUGCGCCUUCUGAAGGUUUUGGUCUGAUCCCCAGUCCCUCAUAUAUGCAUUACUGUGUUUUUCAUCGGUCUGCCUUUGUGUCUGUGUAUACUCUGUGCAUUUCAACCCUCCCAUGGAGGAUGAUCAAUAUUUCAGUAAAGUGUCAUUCCAGCAGCAGGUCUGUUUAUUUCCCCUGUCUGCAUCAAGGAUUCAAGAAAGAGCUGCCCCCUCACAGUGUAUGAAAAAGUGAAACAGUGGGUAGACUUCACCGGUGGGGUUACUUAAAAUCUUGGGGGGGAAUGUGCCCUACUUUUCAGCGUUAAAUUUAACUAAUGGGUUAAUCGCCUUGAUUGCUAUUUUUGAGUCUGGUUCAACAAAAAAAGGUUGUGAAUUUUUCAUAGAUUUUGGUCCCACUAGAGUAAAAUUAACGAGGAUAGGGGGUGUACGUUAAAGGGAUAUUCCGAUCUAAAAUUAAGUUAGGGUCAAACACACCAUAACAUCGAGUUCAGACACCCCUUCAAGAGAUGAAUGUUGCCAACCGCUGGCCUCUCGAGUUAUACCAACUUAAGUAACAACCGCACGAUAGCAAUACACAGCGGUCUACAUCUCCACAUGCAAACCUCAA